rnacentral:rRNA from 1 species
GCUAAGGUCCCUAAUUAUAACUAAGUGGGAAAGGAGGUGGAGAUUCACAAACAACCAGGAGGUUGGCUUAGAAGCAGCCAUACCUUUAAAGAGUGCGUAAUAGCUCACUGGUCGAGAGUCUCUGCGCCGACAAUGUAACGGGGCUAAGUUAUAAACCGAAGCUGUGGAAUUGCGCAAGCAAUUGGUAGGAGAGCGUUCUGUAGGCCGUUGAAGGAGAAGCGCAAGCAACUCUGGAGGUAUCAGAAGUGAGAAUGCAGGAAUAAGUAGCGAGAAAGGGGGCGAGAAUCCCCCUCGCCGGAAGACCAAGGUUUUCAGGGUAAAGCUUGUCUUCCCUGAGUAAGCCGGGACCUAAGCCGAGGCUAAAAUGCGUAGGCGAAUGGAAAACAGAUUAAUAUUUCUGUGCCAGUUAUAUUUUGUGAAGGAGGGACGCAGAAGGGUAUGUGCGCGGGAGAACGGAAGUUCCCGUAGAAGCAUGUAGAGUGGUCUAGUAGGCAAAUCCGCUAGAUUAGACUUGAGGUGUGAUAUAUAGUCGUAAGAUGAAUGCACAAAUCCCACGCUGCCGAGAAAAGCUUCUAACGUUAAGGUAUAACUGCCCGUACCCGAAACCGACACAGGUGGUCAGGAUGAGAAAUCUAAGGCGGACAGGCUAACUCUCGUUAAGGAACUCUGCAAAAUAGCCCCGUAACUUUGGGAGAAGGGGUGCCCCUGAAUGUAAAUAUACACGCGAUAUGAAGCAUUUGGGGGUCGCAGUGAAGAGGCUCAAGCAACUGUUUAACAAAAACACAGGUCUAUGCUAAGCUGUAAGGCGAUGUAUAUGGGCUGACACCUGCCCAGUGCCGGAAGGUUAAGAGGAGGAGUGAGAGCUCCGAAUUGAAGCCCCGGUGAACGGCGGCCGUAACUAUAACGGUCCUAAGGUAGCGAAAUUCCUUGUCGGGUAAGUUCCGACCUGCACGAAUGGUGUAAUGAUUUGAGCGCUGUCUUGACGGGAGGCCUGGUGAAAUUGUACUACCGGUGAAGAUACCGGUUACCUACAGUAGGACGGAAAGACCCCAUGGAGCUUUACUGUAGCUUGGUAUUGGGUUUUGGCAUUGCAUGUAUAGGAUAGUUGGGAAACUAAGAAGGUAUGGCGCUAGCUGUAUUGGAGUUGUCGGUGGAAUACCAACCAUUCAAUGUUGAAAUUCUAAUCUGUGGUUUGUAGCCACGGAAACAGUGCUAGGUGGGCAGUUUGACUGGGGCGGUCGCCUCCGAAAGAGUAACGGAGGCGUUCAAAGGUUCUCUCAGGUUGGAUGGAAAUCAACCGCAGAGUGCAAUGGCAUAAGAGAGCUUAACUGCAAGACUGACGGGUCGAGCAGGUGCGAAAGCAGGACAUAGUGAUCCGGCGAUUCCGAAUGGAAGGGUCGUCGCUCAACGGAUAAAAGCUACCCUGGGGAUAACAGGCUGAUUUUGCCCGAGAGUCCAUAUCGACGGCAAAGUUUGGCACCUCGAUGUCGGCUCAUCGCAUCCUGGGGCUGGAGAAGGUCCCAAGGGUUGGGCUGUUCGCCCAUUAAAGCGGUACGUGAGCUGGGUUCAGAACGUCGUGAGACAGUUCGGUCCCUAUCCACUGUAGGCGUUAGAAUAUUGAGAAGAUCUGUCCUUAGUACGAGAGGACCGGGAUGGACAAACCUCUGAUGUACCAGUUGUCACGCCAGUGGCACAGCUGGGUAGUCACGUUUGGAACGGAUAACCGCUGAAAGCAUCUAAGCGGGAAACCAGCUUCAAGAUAAGUAUUCUUUAAGACUCCUUCGAGACUAGAAGGUUGAUAGGUUGGGGGUGUAAGGGCUGCGAGGCUUUUAGCUGACCAAUACUAAUAAGUCAAAGUUUUAACCUA